rnacentral:rRNA from 10 species
GCGGAGGGAUCAUUACACAAAUAUGAAGGCGGGCUGGAACCUCUCGGGGUUACAGCCUUGCUGAAUUAUUCACCCUUGUCUUUUGCGUACUUCUUGUUUCCUUGGUGGGUUCGCCCACCACUAGGACAAACAUAAACCUUUUGUAAUUGCAAUCAGCGUCAGUAACAAAUUAAUAAUUACAACUUUCAACAACGGAUCUCUUGGUUCUGGCAUCGAUGAAGAACGCAGCGAAAUGCGAUAAGUAGUGUGAAUUGCAGAAUUCAGUGAAUCAUCGAAUCUUUGAACGCACAUUGCGCCCUUUGGUAUUCCAAAGGGCAUGCCUGUUCGAGCGUCAUUUGUACCCUCAAGCUUUGCUUGGUGUUGGGCGUCUUGUCUCUAGCUUUGCUGGAGACUCGCCUUAAAGUAAUUGGCAGCCGGCCUACUGGUUUCGGAGCGCAGCACAAGUCGCACUCUCUAUCAGCAAAGGUCUAGCAUCCAUUAAGCCUUUUUUUCAACUUUUGACCUCGGAUCAGGUAGGGAUACCCGCUGAACUUAAGCAUA